rnacentral:tRNA from 1 species
GGAGAGAUGUCCGAGAGGCCGAAGGAGCACGCUUGGAAAGCGUGUGUACGUUCUGCGUACCGUGGGUUCGAAUCCCACUCUCUCCGCUA